rnacentral:rRNA from 1 species
CGGGUGAGUAAUGUAUGGGGAUCUGCCUGAUGGCGGGGAUAACUACUGGAAACGGUAGCUAAUACCGCAUAAUGUCUGCGGACCAAAGCGGGGGACCUCCGGGCCUCGCGCCAUCAGAUGAACCCAUAUGGGAUUAGCUAGUAGGUAAGGUAACGGCUUACCUAGGCGACGAUCCCUAGCUGGUCUGAGAGGAUGAUCAGCCACACUGGGACUGAGACACGGCCCAG